CGAUUGCAUAUCAAUAAGCGGAGGAAAGAAACCAACAGGGAUUGCCUUAGUAACGGCGAGUGAAGCGGCAAAAGCUCAAAUUUGAAAUCUGGCACCUUCGGUGUCCGAGUUGUAAUUUGAAGAAGGUAACUUUGGAGUUGGCUCUUGUCUAUGUUCCUUGGAACAGGACGUCACAGAGGGUGAGAAUCCCGUGCGAUGAGAUGCCCAAUUCUAUGUAAAGUGCUUUCGAAGAGUCGAGUUGUUUGGGAAUGCAGCUCUAAGUGGGUGGUAAAUUCCAUCUAAAGCUAAAUAUUGGCGAGAGACCGAUAGCGAACAAGUACAGUGAUGGAAAGAUGAAAAGAACUUUGAAAAGAGAGUGAAAAAGUACGUGAAAUUGUUGAAAGGGAAGGGCUUGAGAUCAGACUUGGUAUUUUGCGAUCCUUUCCUUCUUGGUUGGGUUCCUCGCAGCUUACUGGGCCAGCAUCGGUUUGGAUGGAAGGAUAAUGACUAAGGAUGUGGCUCUACCUCGGGAUCCCGUGCGAUGAGAUGCCCAAUCUAUGUAAAGUGCUUCGAAGAGUGGAGUGUUGGGAAUGCAGCUCUAAGUGGUGUAAAUCCAUCUAAGGUAAAUAUUGCGAGAGACCGAUAGCGAACAAGUACAGUGAUGGAAAGAUGAAAAGAACUUGAAAAGAGAGUGAAAAAGUACGUGAAAUUGUUGAAAGGGAAGGGCUUGAGAUCAGACUUGGUAUUUUGCGAUCCUUUCCUUCUUGGUUGGGUUCCUCGCAGCUUACUGGGCCAGCAUCGGUUUGGAUGGUAGGAUAAUGACUAAGGAAUGUGGCUCUACUUCGGUGAGUGUUAUAGCCUUGGUUGAUACUGCCUGUCUAGACCGAGGACUGCGUCUUUUGACUAGGAUGUUGGCAUAAUGAUCUUAAGCCACCCGUCUGAAACACGGACC
rnacentral:rRNA from 1 species